ACAUGCAAGUCGAACGAUGAAGCCCAUCUUGCUGGGCGGAUUAGUGGCGAACGGGUGAGUAACACGUGAGUAACCUGGCCUUGACUCUGGGAUAAGCCCGGGAAACUGGGUCUAAUACCGGAUAGGAGCGCCUGUCGCAUGACGGGUGUUGGAAAGAUUUUUCGGUCAUGGAUGGACUCCCGGCCUAUCAGCUUGUUGGUGAGGUAAUGGCUCACCAAGGCGACGACGGGUAGCCGGCCUGAGAGGGUGACCGGCCACACUGGGACUGAGACACGGCCCACACUCCUACGGGAGGCAGCAGUGGGGAAUAUUGCACAAUGGGCGGAAGCCUGAUGCACCGACCCCGCGUGAGGGAUGACGGCCUUCGGGUUGUAAACCUCUUUCAGCAGGAAAGAAGCGAAAGUGACGGUACCUGCAAAAGAAGCACCGGCUAACUACGUGCCACCAGCCGCGGUAAUACGUAGGGUGCGAGCGUUAUCCGGAAUUAUUGGGCGUAAAUAGCUCGUAGGCGGUUUGUCCCGUCUGUCGUGAAAGUCCGGGGCUUAACCCCGGAUCUGCGGUGGGUACGGGCAGACUAGAGUG
rnacentral:rRNA from 1 species